CAGUCGCCGCGGGAAUACGAAGGUCCCGAGCGUUGUUCGGAAUCACUGGGCGUAAAGGGAGCGUAGGCGGCGUGGUAAGUCAGAUGUGAAAUCCCGGGGCUCAACCCCGGAACUGCAUCCGAUACUGCCAUGCUAGAGGAUUGGAGAGGUAGCUGGAAUUCUUGGUGUAGCAGUGAAAUGCGUGGAGAUCAAGAGGAACACUCGUGGCGAAAGCGAGCUACUGGACAGUAACUGACGCUGAGGCUCGAAGGCCAGGGUAGCGAAAGGGAUUAGAUACCCCGGUAGUCCCUGUCUCUUAUAC
rnacentral:rRNA from 1 species